rnacentral:piRNA from 1 species
UUGAUUACGCCUUGGGUCGAA